UGAANGAANGGCCCUUUCGGGUUGUAAAGUACUUUUCAGCAGUGAGGAAGGUGGGUAUGUUAAAAGCAUACUCAUUUGACGUUAGCUGCAGAAGAAGCCCCGGCUAACUCCGUGCCAGCAGCCGCGGUAAUACGGAGGGUGCGAGCGUUAAUCGGAAUUACUGGGCGUAAAGCGCAUGCAGGUGGUUUGUUAAGUCAGAUGUGAAAGCCCGGGGCUCAACCUCGGAAUUGCAUUUGAAACUGGCAAACUAGAGUACUGUAGAGGGGGGUAGAAUUUCAGGUGUAGCGGUGAAAUGCGUAGAGAUCUGAAGGAAUACCGGUGGCGAAGGCGGCCCCCUGGACAGAUACUGACACUCAGAUGCGAAAGCGUGGGGAGCAAACAGGAUUAGAUACCCUGGUAGUCCACGCCGUAAACGAUGUCUACUUGGAGGUUGUGGCCUUGAGCCGUGGCUUUCGGAGCUAACGCGUUAAGUAGACCGCCUGGGGAGUACGGUCGCAAGAUUAAAACUCAAAUGAAUUGACGGGGGCCCGCACAAGCGGUGGAGCAUGUGGUUUAAUUCGAUGCAACGCGAAGAACCUUACCUACUCUUGACAUCUACAGAAGCCAGCGGAGACGCAGGUGUGCCUUCGGGAACUGUAAGACAGGUGCUGCAUGGCUGUCGUCAGCUCGUGUUGUGAAAUGUUGGGUUAAGUCCCGCAACGAGCGCAACCCUUAUCCUUGUUUGCCAGCACUUCGGGUGGGAACUCCAGGGAGACUGCCGGUGAUAAACCGGAGGAAGGUGGGGACGACGUCAAGUCAUCAUGGCCCUUACGAGUAGGGCUACACACGUGCUACAAUGGCGCAUACAGAGGGCGGCCAACUUGCGAAAGUGAGCGAAUCCCAAAAAGUGCGUCGUAGUCCGGAUUGGAGUCUGCAACUCGACUCCAUGAAGUCGGAAUCGCUAGUAAUCGUGGAUCAGAAUGCCACGGUGAAUACGUUCCCGGGCCUUGUACACACCGCCCGUCACACCAUGGGAGUGGGCUGCAAAAGAAGUGGGUAGUUUAACCUUCGGGAGGACGCUCACCACUUUGUGGUUCAUGACUGGGGUGAAGUCGUAACAAGGUAACCG
rnacentral:rRNA from 1 species